rnacentral:rRNA from 1 species
UACGAAGGGGGCUAGCGUUGCUCGGAAUUACUGGGCGUAAAGCGCACGUAGGCGGCUUCUUAAGUCGGUGGUGAAAUCCUGGAGCUCAACUCCAGAACUGCCUUCGAUACUGGGAAGCUCGAGUCCGGGAGAGGUGAGUGGAACUGCGAGUGUAGAGGUGAAAUUCGUAGAUAUUCGCAAGGACACCAGUGGCGAAGGCGGCUCACUGGCCCGGUACUGACGCUGAGGUGCGAAAGCGUGGGGAGCAAACAGG